UCCAUGACGUCGAGAAGAUCCAAGAGAAAUAUGACCAACUCGACGCGAAAUUCAAGGAAAGCGAGAAAGCCCUGGAUAAACUGAAGAAUGUGAGGUCUAGGAUGGAGAACCUGCGCGACAAUAUUCUGCCGAAGAAGGACAAGACGAUUGAGUCCAAGCAGAAGGAAAUUGAUGACUAUGUCGCGAAGAUCUUGGCACUUCGCAAAGAUUUGAAGGUUGCUACGCUGGUCAUGCUAAAGAUAUUGAAGAUUUGAAGAGCCAGCUAGCUAGCGAGUGAGGGC
rnacentral:lncRNA from 1 species